rnacentral:rRNA from 1 species
UACAUGCAGUCGAACGAGCUUCCGUUGAAUGACGUGCUUGCACUGAUUUCAACAAUGAAGCGAGUGGCGAACUGGUGAGUAACACGUGGGAAAUCUGCCCAGAAGCAGGGGAUAACACUUGGAAACAGGUGCUAAUACCGUAUAACAACAAAAUCCGCAUGGAUUUUGUUUGAAAGGUGGCUUCGGCUAUCACUUCUGGAUGAUCCCGCGGCGUAUUAGUUAGUUGGUGAGGUAAAGGCCCACCAAGACGAUGAUACGUAGCCGACCUGAGAGGGUAAUCGGCCACAUUGGGACUGAGACACGGCCCAAACUCCUACGGGAGGCAGCAGUAGGGAAUCUUCCACAAUGGACGAAAGUCUGAUGGAGCAAUGCCGCGUGAGUGAAGAAGGGUUUCGGCUCGUAAAACUCUGUUGUUAAAGAAGAACACCUUUGAGAGUAACUGUUCAAGGGUUGACGGUAUUUAACCAGAAAGCCACGGCUAACUACGUGCCAGCAGCCGCGGUAAUACGUAGGUGGCAAGCGUUGUCCGGAUUUAUUGGGCGUAAAGCGAGCGCAGGCGGUUUUUUAAGUCUGAUGUGAAAGCCUUCGGCUUAACCGGAGAAGUGCAUCGGAAACUGGGAGACUUGAGUGCAGAAGAGGACAGUGGAACUCCAUGUGUAGCGGUGGAAUGCGUAGAUAUAUGGAAGAACACCAGUGGCGAAGGCGGCUGUCUAGUCUGUAACUGACGCUGAGGCUCGAAAGCAUGGGUAGCGAACAGGAUUAGAUACCCUGGUAGUCCAUGCCGUAAACGAUGAGUGCUAAGUGUUGGAGGGUUUCCGCCCUUCAGUGCUGCAGCUAACGCAUUAAGCACUCCGCCUGGGGAGUACGACCGCAAGGUUGAAACUCAAAGGAAUUGACGGGGGCCCGCACAAGCGGUGGAGCAUGUGGUUUAAUUCGAAGCUACGCGAAGAACCUUACCAGGUCUUGACAUCUUCUGCCAAUCUUAGAGAUAAGACGUUCCCUUCGGGGACAGAAUGACAGGUGGUGCAUGGUUGUCGUCAGCUCGUGUCGUGAGAUGUUGGGUUAAGUCCCGCAACGAGCGCAACCCUUAUUAUCAGUUGCCAGCAUUCAGUUGGGCACUCUGGUGAGACUGCCGGUGACAAACCGGAGGAAAGG